UGUCGGGGUAGCCAAGCCCGGUAUGGCGUCAGCCUGCUAAGCUGAUGGGUAAUCCUUCGUGGGUUCGAAUCCCACCCCCGACGU
rnacentral:tRNA from 2 species